rnacentral:rRNA from 1 species
UGCGCAGGCGGACCUAUUAGUCAGUGGUGAAAUCCCGGGGCUCAACUCCGGAACUGCCAUUAAUACUGUAGGUCUUGAGUUUGGUUGAAGUGGGCGGAAUGUAGCAUGUAGCGGUGAAAUGCAUAGAUAUGCUACAGAACACCGAUCGCGAAGGCAGCUCACUAAACCAAAACUGACGCUCAGGCACGAAAGCGUGGGUAGCGAACAGGAUUAGAUACCCUGGUAGUCC